CCUACGGGUGGCUGCAGUGGGGAAUAUUGCACAAUGGGGGAAACCCUGAUGCAGCAACGCCGCGUGAGUGAAGAAGUAUGUCGGGAGGGAAAGCUCUAUCAGCAGGGAAGAAGAGGACGGUACCUGAAUAAGAAGCCCCGGCUAACUCCGGGCCAGCAGCCGCGGUAAGACGUAGGGGGCAAGCGUUAUCCGGAUUUACUGGGUUUAAAGGGAGCGGAGGAGGCAGGGCAAGUCUGGCGUGAAAGCCCGGGGCCCAACCCCGGAACUGCUCUGGAAACUGUGCGGCUAGAGUACUGGAGGGGCAGGCGGAAUUCCUCGUGUAGCGGUGAAAUGCGUAGAUAUUAGGCGGAACCCCAGUGGCGAAGGCGGCCUGCUGGACCGUAACUGACGUUGAGGCUCGAAAGCGUGGGGAGCAAACAGGAUUAGAUACCCUGGUAGUC
rnacentral:rRNA from 1 species